AUAUCAAUAAGCGGAGGAAAAGAAACCAACAGGGAUUACCCUAGUAACGGCGAGUGAAGCGGUAACAGCUCAAAUUUGAAAUCUGACCUUCACGGGUUCGAGUUGUAAUUUGUAGAGGAUGUUUCGGAUAAGACUUUGGUUUAAGUUUCUUGGAACAGAACGUCAUAGAGGGUGAGAGUCCCGUCUAGAACCGAUAGUCGCGUCCAUGUGAAACUCCUUCGACGAGUCGAGUUGUUUGGGAAUGCAGCUCAAAAUGGGUGGUAAAUUUCAUCUAAAGCUAAAUAUUGGCCAGAGACCGAUAGCGCACAAGUAGAGUGAUCGAAAGAUGAAAAGCACUUUGAAAAGAGAGUUAAACAGUAUGUGAAAUUGUUGAAAGGGAAGCGCUUGCAACCAGACUUGUGUAUAACGGUUCCCCCAAUCUUCUGACUGGGUUAUUCUGUUAUAUCCAGGCCAGCAUCGGUUCAGGUGGUUGUUUAAAGACUUUAGGAAUGUAUCUACCUUCGGGUCGACUUAUAGCUUAAGGUGUAAUACAGCCUAUCUGGACCGAGGAACGCGCUUUUGCUCGGAUGCUGGCGUAAUGGUCGUAAGCGG
rnacentral:rRNA from 1 species